GGUCUGUAUUAAUAACCUUUAAUCUUUCCUCUCCUCCAUGCCUCCAUGAAAUUGUCAGCAGAUGAUCUGCAACAUUAGCCAGCUGGCCUAACAAUAGAGUGCCAUUCUACUUUACAACUAACAAUACCUACAAUUGACUUUCAGACAUAUGACUUUCAGACUUAGCCACGUAUUGGUCGGGGGUGUGGAGACCCUGGAGCCCCCGCCAGGCAGCACAGAGCACGAGGCUGGGGUGCCUCCUAGUGUGGAUGGUUCAUCCUUCCCUAAAACUGACUGCUGCAACAUGUAGGUCUGAACGCAAAGAUACUGUGCAGUACUAAAAAGCGACUGAUUUCGAAGCCUCAGUGUUUACAUAAUGGAGCACGAUACUGAAAUAUGAAACCUUUUAUCCAUAAUGGCAUUUUUAAGGACAAAAAGAAGCUAUAAUAAUUACAGGGGGGGAAAAAAAAACAUGAGAAUACAAUGUAAAAAAAAAAAUCUCUUUUCCAAGCAGUAAAAUCAAGUAUCAGGAAACACGAACAGUGGUCAAAAAGCCAAAACUCGUUGAAAGAAUGGAAGCUUAACGGGAUAGCCACAGAGCACUGAAAUGACGCUUCUGUGUCAAGCAAAACCGCAUGGCGUGAGCUUAACAAAAUAAUACUUGUGGCACAGCUGAAACUGCUUGUAUCCAAAGCCAGUGGACGACGGCAUGCAACAGAGUGUAAGCUGCCCUUAGCAACAGCAAAUGAAUCUGUCUGAUGAGUCACCUCUCACUCUGUUUUCCCCAUCGAGGUAAGACCAGGCUGAAUCACACUCUAAAAUUAGCUGAGCUCACAACAGCUAGCAGUUACACUGGCCAGCACCAGCCCUUGUUUUAUGAAUCAGAGUUUACCCAGCUGGGGACCAAUCAGGGCAGACCAGAGGUGGGUCGCCAUAGUUACAGCACACACCUGAUUAUCCACAGAGUACUAUAGUGGGUCACACUGUGCCACAGGUUAUUGUACUGAUUGCUUAGUAUUACAUCCAAAUAUACAGAGCAUAUCACCUUCACAAGGUCAGUACCUGCGCUUUUCCAUAUCACACAUUCUGCGCCAAUAACUCUUAUGGUGAGAGUAGUUACAAUUCAUGACCUUGCCAGUCCACAUCAUGAAAUACCCUCUAUGAUUACACCGUACUACUUACUGGCAUUUGGGGAGCAACAGUGCGGUCUCAGUGCGGGGUUGGAGAUUUGAAUCCUGCCCGCGGCUCUGUAUGUGAGGAGUGACGGUUAGGGUUAGGAUUAGGUUUAGGAUUAGGGUUCCAGUCUAGGAAGCGUCCUGUGCUUCAAGGAGCUCUGUACUGCAUAAGAAAUUAAUUAAGAAUAAAUGGACGUACAGGAAUGCCAAUACAAUUUUAGUUUUGACUAAUAAGUUAUAUUUUCCACAGUGUUUGCUGGAUAAAAACCAAACAUCUUCUUGAUGUGGUUGGUUUACAUUGGCUUGGCUGAUCCUGACGGAUAUUUGCCACAGGAAACCCUGACUCAUCGAAACAACUGGAGAAAUGACACACCUGUGAAGAACAUUCUUUUAGACUAGAGUGACUGUGACUCCUGGUAGUUUUCCAGCUGCGACUUCACUACCUUCUGACCUUUUGACAUUCCUCUCCAGCAUCCUGUCAUCCAGAUCCAUUCCCACUUCUAUAAUUCAGAUCAGAUGACACGCAGUUUUUUUCACAAUAGGAUAAAAGCGCAGCUUUCCAGCAUGCAUUCCUGUAUUUACCUUCCAAGGCUUAACAAGGAAAAAAAAGAUUUCCUGAAUUCCAAAAUCAAAGUAUAGUGUGUGUGUGUGUCUGUGUAUAUAUAUAUGAUUAUUGAUUAUGGUGCACAUUUGUCAUGCCAUUGUUU